AUUGAACGCUGGCGGCAUGCCUUACACAUGCAAGUCGAACGGCAGCGGACCUUCGGGUGCCGGCGAGUGGCGAACGGGUGAGUAAUAUAUCGGAACGUACCUUUCAGUGGGGGAUAACGUAGCGAAAGUUACGCUAAUACCGCAUAUUCUGUGAGCAGGAAAGCAGGGGAUCGCAAGACCUUGCGCUGAUUGAGCGGCCGAUAUCAGAUUAGCUAGUUGGUGAGGUAAAGGCUCACCAAGGCGACGAUCUGUAGCGGGUCUGAGAGGAUGAUCCGCCACACUGGAACUGAGACACGGUCCAGACUCCUACGGGAGGCAGCAGUGGGGGAAUUUUGGACAAUGGGCGGCAAGCCUGAUCCAGCCAUGCCGCGUGAGUGAAGAAGGCC
rnacentral:rRNA from 1 species